rnacentral:hammerhead_ribozyme from 1 species
AUCCAGCUGACUCAUCCUAAAUAGGACGAAACGAGCGUCUUGGAU